GGUGCUGGCGCAGGCGCUAAGAUGUUUAUAAUAAUUUAAGCUUAACGCUCGGAAAAUACUUUCUAAGGAGCAAGGAAAUGCUUUUUCUGAUGAGAUGGAUCCAGAUGUGGACCACGGCUCACCACAGGAUGACUCCCGCCAGCAUUCCCUGCAGACUCUCAAAGGGCAUCCAUGCAGUGGCGCGUGUGACACUCCACGCAGCAAGGCUCUGCCGCAGGGCCUGGUGUGGACUAAACAGAGUCGGUUAGAAAAGUGUUCUGAUGCAGUCACAGCUUUCAAGGCCUCAGCUUGCAUAAUUACAAGGGGCAGGAGCUGAAAUUUCAUCUGUGCGACAUCAGCUCAAAAGGAGCCGAGACUGGAAGAAACCGGGAGCUAUGAUUUGCACUUU
rnacentral:lncRNA from 1 species